GCAGACCAGUUUAGAACCUCGGCUCCUGGAGUAGCAGAACCUCAGCUUCAAUGGGACCCUCAUUUCAUAAAUGAAGAAACUGAGAUUCAAAGAGGGGAACUACCGAAGGUCACAGAGCGAGUUCGUGGAUGGGGACACUGAGCCUCACAUGUAUGAAUUCCAGCAUAUAAGCAACAGACUCCAGAUUUGGACUUGUAUAUCUUGUUCCAGACUUCCCAGAUGACCACCAAGGCGGAAGGGAUGGUGAUGCCCAGGCAGAAGGGAGCUAGGCCAGCCCAGGCUUUUCCUCUAGGCACAGCGGACUCCAGGUUCAGCCUUCCCGGAUGGUAAUGUUGCAUUCUGAAAAGCUACUUUCCCGCCAACUCAUCUCUGGACUUCUCUGGGGCCCAACUCUGGUUUCCUGCCUGCAGGAGGUCCCCUCUGACUUCCGACAGUAGAUGACCCUUCUGACUCACAGUUCUACUGCUGGGAAAUGCCUCCAGAGCUGCUGCCCACCCCCUCUGCAUCCCUCCAGGUCACUGGCUGUCGAGUCAGGGGAAGCAGGGAUACACAUGGGCGGGAAACUCAGGCCUCCUAAAUGUCAGAGCCUCAGGACUUCGUCUACUCAGAAGUAGCUCCCUCCUGGGCCACCAGGGAGCAGCAGGGCAGCCAGCAUCCAGACAUCCCCCCUGGGCUCUGCUGCUCAGAGGCUAGAUGGAGAACCAAGGUGGGAAAGAGGCUUAAACCACAGCCUGGGGAGAUUUAGGUUAGAUGGGUCAGAGGAAGUUUAGGAUAAGCCUUGCCCUUUUCAGUCUCUGUCCAGCUUCAGCACAGCCACUGCUUCCUCUCUUUGGUUUUUUCCCAUCCCCCUCUCUCCCACCACCUCUAUCCCCUUCCAGCUUUUCUUUCCUUCCCUCCUUCCCAAACCCCAAAGCUUCUCAGGAUUAGCUGCCCAUGUGCCUAUCUCCCCCACCCCCAUGCUUUCCUCACUGUCUCACAGAAACAGGCAAACACACGCACAGGCACACAACCAUGAGCUGGCCCUGACAGUUCUCUGACUGGACUGGGGUUGGAGCCCCAGCUCUUGUCCUGAGCUGAGGCCCUUCCCCCAGGUAUCUUGGGGCUUCCAUCAUUUCUCUUGACAGGAGCUGUGGGCGUCUGGGCAGAUGGGAACCUGGGGGAGGUGUGGGGAGCCCUCUUUGAGGCAGGAAGCUCCCACGCUACUGUAGUUAAAAUACUCCGGCAGCAACUUGGGGCGGCCAUCUGGGACUCCCAGAUCUCCCAGGACACCCAGCUCUCAACAACAACCCUAUAGGAACAAAUCAAAAACCUAAGAGAUACUUAUAGGCCCUGGAAAUGUCUCCCAAAAGUGGCCUGAACUUGAGCCGUGUUUCCUUUUAUCUUCUUCAGGUUAGCACUGGGCAUUGGCAUUUGCAAAAACUCUCUAAGCAUUAAGCAAAAGUUGUAGGAGUGGAAGAUACAGCGUUCUGGACCUCUAGUCCUAAUACCCAGCCACACCCCAGCAGCUAUGCGUGGUUCCAUUGGAGAACAGGCAUAGCCCAUCCUGCUGGCAUAUAGUCCAGCCAUAUCUUCCAAUGCCCACCUGGAGACUGAGCCCAGUUCUGCCCAGCAACAGGAGCUCAGAGCUCCAGAGAGCCUCUCCUGGGGUGCAGACUCAGGAGAUUUAGCUCAGGAGCAGACUUAGCCUGACUUCCUCUUUUAUAGGAGGAGACAGACUUAGUUACAGAGGAAACCAGAGUUGUUAUAAAUAGCAAGGAAGGGAGAAAACUGCUAUGGAUUACAAACACGCCAUCAAUCUUAAAACAGACUAUUUUUAGUUUCAAAUAAUAAUGAGAGUCUAAUUAAUGCUCUGUAUAACUUCAAAUGUGGGAUCUUUAUCUACCUUUCUACUUUGUGAUGCUUUCUAAUACAGUAUUAGGGCCAAAGGCAGGAAGAGAUGUGGGCAAUUCUCAAUGUUACCAAAUCCUAGAUAUGGAAAGAACCUGAGAAAUUUAGUCCAGCCCUUUCAUUUUCAGUGAAGAAACUCAGGCCCAGAGAAGUAAAAGGACUUGUCCAAAGUUGCAUAGUUAGGUAGGGACUGAGUAGUGACUAAAAGCCUAGUCCCUGUACUCCAGAAGCAGGACGGUUUCCACAGCAGCACAAUAGAACCCAAAGGCAUCUGUUGGUGAGUUUAUAGCCUGGGUAAAAGUCAGGUCUAGGCCAGGUGUGGAGGCUCACGCCUGUAAUCCCAGCAGUUUGGGAGGCUGAGGCAGGUGAAUCACUUGAGGCCAGGAGUUUGAGACCAACCUGGCCAACAUGGCAAAACCUCAUCUCUACUAAAAAAUACAAAAAUUAGCCAGAUGUGACCGCACAUGCCUGUAAUCCCAGCUACUCAGGAGGCUGAGGCACGAGAAUCGGUUGAACCUGGGAGGUGGAGAUUUCAGUGAGAUCACACCACUGCACUUCAAUCUGGGGGACAAUGCAAGACUCUGUCUC
rnacentral:antisense_RNA from 1 species